AAAAAAGUAAGCUAAUUUUAAGCUAUUAGGUUCAUACCCUAAACAUAAAGGUCAUAACCCUUUCUUUUUUA
rnacentral:tRNA from 1 species